AUAUCAAUAAGCGGAGGAAAAGAAACCAACAGGGAUUGCCCUAGUAACGGCGAGUGAAGCGGCAAGAGCCCAAAUUUGAAAUCUGGGCCCUAUUGCUAGGGCCCCGAGUUGUAAUUUGCAGAGGAUGCUUUGGGGGCUGCACCGGUCUAAAUCCCUUGGAACAGGGUGUCGAAGAGGGUGAGAAUCCCGUCUGCGACUGGGCUAGCAUGUCACCGUAUAAAGCUCCUUCAACGAGUCGAGUUGUUUGGGAAUGCAGCUCUAAACGGGAGGUAAAUUUCUUCCAAGGCUAAAUAGCGGCCAGAGACCGAUAGCGCACAAGUAGAGUGAUCGAAAGAUGAAAAGCACUUUGGAAAGAGAGUCAAAUAGCACGUGAAAUUGUUGAAAGGGAAGCGCUCGCGAUCAGACAUGUCCAUUAGUGCUCUACUCGCCCCUAGGGCGCAGUAAAAUCGCUAGAGGACAGGCCAGCGUUGGUUUUGGCGGCAAGUGAAAGAGCGCGGGAAUGUGGCCCCCCUUCGGGGCGGGUGUUAUAGCCCGCGCUGGCCCUAUUGCCCGCUAAGACCAAGGCUCCGCGCACCUAGUGCUAGGACGCUGGCGUAAUGGUCGUGAGCGGCCCGUCUUGAGACACGGACCAAGGAGUCUAACAUCCACGCGAGCGUUUGGGCGUUAAACCCAGGGCGCGCAAUCAACGUAAACGGAGGUGGGAGCCUGGCCCUAGGUUAGGUGCACCAUCGACCGAUCCUGAUGUCUUCGGAUGGAUUUGAGUAAGAGCAUAGCUGUUGGGACCCGAAAGAUGGUGAACUAUGCCUGAAUAGGGUGAAGCCAGAGGAAACUCUGGUGGAGGCUCGCAGCGGUUCUGACGUGCAAAUCGAUCGUCAAAUUUGGGUAUAGGGGCGAAAGACUAAUCGAACCAU
rnacentral:rRNA from 1 species